AUUGAACGCUAGCGGCAGGCCUAACACAUGCAAGUCGAACGGUAACAGGAAGAAGCUUGCUUCUUUGCUGACGAGUGGCGGACGGGUGAGUAAUGUCUGGGAAACUGCCUGAUGGAGGGGGAUAACUACUGGAAACGGUAGCUAAUACCGCAUAACGUCGCAAGACCAAAAAGGGGGACCUUCGGGCCUCUUGCCAUCGGAUGUGCCCAGAUGGGAUUAGCUAGUAGGUGGGGUAACGGCUCACCUAGGCGACGAUCCCUAGCUGGUCUGAGAGGAUGACCAGCCACACUGGAACUGAGACACGGUCCAGACUCCUACGGGAGGCAGCAGUGGGGAAUAUUGCACAAUGGGCGCAAGCCUGAUGCAGCCAUGCCGCGUGGAUGAAGAAGGCCUUCGGGUUGUAAAGUACUUUCAGCGGGGAGGAAGGGAGUAAAGUUAAUACCUUUGCUAAUUGACGUUACCCGCAGAAGAAGCACCGGCUAACUCCGUG
rnacentral:rRNA from 1 species